UAACACAUGCAAGUCGAGCGGUAACAGGUCUAGCUUGCUAGACGCUGACGAGCGGCGGACGGGUGAGUAAUGCAUAGGAAUCUGCCCGAUAGUGGGGGAUAACCUGGGGAAACCCAGGCUAAUACCGCAUACGUCCUACGGGAGAAAGGGGGCUCCGGCUCCCGCUAUCGGAUGAGCCUAUGUCGGAUUAGCUAGUUGGUGGGGUAAUGGCCCACCAAGGCGACGAUCCGUAGCUGGUCUGAGAGGAUGAUCAGCCACAUCGGGACUGAGACACGGCCCGAACUCCUACGGGAGGCAGCAGUGGGGAAUAUUGGACAAUGGGGGCAACCCUGAUCCAGCCAUGCCGCGUGUGUGAAGAAGGCCUUAGGGUUGUAAAGCACUUUCAGCGAGGAAGAACGCCUGGCGGUUAAUACCCGCCAGGAAAGACAUCACUCGCAGAAGAAGCACCGGCUAACUCCGUGCCAGCAGCCGCGGUAAUACGGAGGGUGCAAGCGUUAAUCGGAAUUACUGGGCGUAAAGCGCGCGUAGGUGGCUUGAUAAGCCGGUUGUGAAAGCCCCGGGCUCAACCUGGGAACGGCAUCCGGAACUGUCAAGCUAGAGUACAGGAGAGGAAGGUAGAAUUCCCGGUGUAGCGGUGAAAUGCGUAGAGAUCGGGAGGAAUACCAGUGGCGAAGGCGGCCUUCUGGACUGAUACUGACACUGAGGUGCGAAAGCGUGGGUAGCAAACAGGAUUAGAUACCCUGGUAGUCCACGCCGUAAACGAUGUCGACCAGCCGUUGGGUGCCUAGCGCACUUUGUGGCGAAGUUAACGCGAUAAGUCGACCGCCUGGGGAGUACGGCCGCAAGGUUAAA
rnacentral:rRNA from 1 species